AGGCUUUUCUUUAAGUUCCCAAAUGGGAAACAGAGAGCCACGGCAGAAGGCUUUAUAUUUCAUCUGUGGAACUCCCUGCCUCUGGAGGCGAUAAUUUUGAGCCGAAUGGAACCCAGCUUCUCAGGAAGCAGACGCCCUCUGGAACUCUGGCUUCUACACAAGAUCUGGAAAAAAAACCUAGAAAGAGUUUGCCUGUGGCAGGUUGGAUCUGUCACUGCCGUCCAUUAAAUAGUUUCUUUGAUGGUGCAAAAUAGAGAAAGGAUCACCUGAUGUCCUACUUUCCAUCUUGAUUCUACUGCAGUGAUGUACGUAAAAGAGUUAGGGCUGAAAUAGCCGUAGGCCACUCUCUCCAUGUUAAUUACCCCCAGGACUAUUACCACUGGCUCAGGAAAUUUCAAUUUAUUUUGAGAGCUUUCUGAAGAGGAGCUUUCAAAGAUAAUAUUAAUUGGAACAUUGAAAAAAAAUGAAGUCAUAACUUCAAAAAAGGAACUACACCUCCCACUAUCAGAGAGGCACUCUUGCACAGAUCCAUGAAAAGCAGAGACCUCGAUUGUGUGCCUGCCUACCAAAUUCCAGUUAACAGAAAAGGUGCCUUUGAAAGGUGGCAAAAUUUAUAUUUCUGUUUCCUUGGCAACCA